GCCGGGCAUGGUGGUGCACGCCUUUAAUCCCAGCACUUGGGAGGCAGAGGCAGGCGGAUUUCUGAGUUCCAGGCCAGCCUGGUCUACAGAGUGAGUUCCAGGACAGCCAGGGCUACACAAAGAAACCCUGUCUCGAAAAACAAAAACAAAACAAAAAAUUAAGUAUAGUUUAUUAUAUGUUAAAUAUUUGGGAAGGCACUAGAGCAGUGUUUUUUUAUUUUUUAUUUUUAUUUUUUACUUUUUUGGUUAUUUUGAGACAGGGUUUCUCUGUGUAGCCCUGGCUGUCCUGGAACUCACUCUGUAGACCAGGCUGGCCUGGAACUCAGAA
rnacentral:lncRNA from 1 species